UACGUAGGGGGCGAGCGUUGUCCGGAUUUAUUGGGCGUAAAGAGCUCGUAGGCGGUUUGGCAAGUCGGGUGUGAAAACUCCGGGCUCAACUCGGAGACGCCACUCGAUACUGCUAUGACUCGAGUCCGGUAGGGGAGUGCGGAAUUCCUGGUGUAGCGGUGAAAUGCGCAGAGAUCGGAAGGAACGUCAAUGGCGAAGGCAGCCACCUGGCAUCAUACUGACGCUGAGGCGCGAGAGCGUGGGGAGCGAACAGG
rnacentral:rRNA from 1 species